CUAUCCAUCCAUCCAUCCAUCCAUCCAUCCAUCCAUCCAUCCGUUAGAAAAUUGGAAUCAACACAAUAUGUAAAUCACCAUAUCUAUGAGUACUUUUGCAUUUUUUUACUGACGAGAUAAAAAGCAUCAUGUAGUCUAUCAAUGUGUCUCUAUAAAAGGCUUAGAAUAAAUGUUAAUAUGUUAAAAACAUAAUAAACACCACAUAACUUAUCAGCCUUGUGGAGCUACAUCCAACUUCCAUAACUUCAGAAAAUUAUAUGCACAUGUAUAAUAGGACGUUGCAGGAAAAUUUUGUUGCUUGCUAAAGUAAUAUUACAAAACUGCGUGAUUCAAGAAGACUAAAUAUACAAGAAUUCCAAAAUAUGAAUAUUCUAAACUAGG
rnacentral:misc_RNA from 1 species